CAGCACACAAGAACUCCAAACGCCUGAACCGUAGCUGCCAGGGGUUCCUCCAGAACCUCCUCCCCCAGGAGCUUGCUAAAAGUGCCAGAAAUCUGGCCACUAGGCCAAGGAAUGCCCACAGCCCAGGAUUCCUCCUAAGCCGUGUCCCAUCUGUGCAGGACCCCACUGAAAACUGGACUGUUCAACUCACCUGGCAGCCACUUCCAGAGCUCCUGGAACUCUAGCCCAAGGCUCUCUGACUCUUUCCCAGAUCUUCUCGGCUUAGCAGCUGAAGACUGACACUGCCGGAUCGCCUCAGAAGCCUGCAGGACCAUCACAGACGCUCUAGGUAACUCUCACAGUAGAAGAGUUGCAGGGUGUUUAAGUUUGAAGAUACUGCCUGAUCCAUCGUUUCACAGAGAAAGAAGCUGAGGUUCAGAGGAGAAUCUUGGAGAAGUUGCUGUUCCAGGUCUUGCAAGAUUGAAAACCUAAUCAUUGGUAAGGCUUUCUUUCCACAAGAUUGAAUUAGUAGCCAUUAAUCCACCGAGGCUAAUGUCUGUGCCCUUUGGGUAUUUGAAUUUAUCAAAACAAGUCUCUGCAGAAGUGAAAUGACCUAAUCGAUGUAGUUCUCUGGGUUUGUGAAGUGGGAACAUUAUUCUGUUUGCUUCAUGAUGAAUUAUUGAACUAAUACUUAAAUCAUUCCAUAAGUACAGAGUGAGGCUGAGCAACCAGGAGACACAGAGCUAAGAAAAAGUUGGCUUUUAAUAUCAUUCUCUGAACCAUUAAUCUGUCAGGAAAGAGGAAAAGAUGUCAUAUUUUAUUACAAAGAUGCCUAGAAUAUGCAAUUAAUCUAAUUACAACAGUUAUUAUUAUUUUUUAAAAAAUCAGUGCUUCCUGUGCCCUGGGCUCCAUAAUCCCUCCAGCCCAUGAAGUGACUUAACUGGGGAGAGUGGUGUUUCUAUCCUGGGCUGUUCCCAAGAAGCCACUGUCCAAUCAAGGUGUCUGUGAGACACCUUGAAAGAAAGGGAGCUGUGUGGGACAACCAAUUUUUAUUUGUCUAUCUCUCUGCUCUGCCUCAGGGACAUAGGAACAGAGUAAACAAAUGCUAUAAAUUCCUGCCCUAGGCACUGAUUUUUGAAGGAAUUGAAAAGACAAACAACAACUGUAACCCUGUAGUUUUGGAUGCAAAACUGUCCUAGCUUUAAGGUGUCUUGCAUAUCCUCGGUCCAGAUGCUUUCAAUAACUAGCCAAGAGAUAAAGAAUGAGUUCCUUUGUGGGAAGUUUGAAAAUAAAUAUGUCUGCAUCUUCACUUUGUAAUCUCUGGAAAAGGAUGCUCAUGGGUAUUUAAAGAAGCUGGCUCUGGGCAGCUGAAAAGGCAGGGAGAAAAGCCCACUUCAUUUUUUUAAAAAUAGCUUUAAUGAUAUAUAAUUCAUAUGCUAUAAAAUUUACCUUUUAGAAAUAGACCUGUGACUUUUAGUAUAUUCAUAGAAUUGUACAACCAUCAUCACUAUCUAAUUUUAAAACAUCCUAAUCCCCUCAAAAAGAAAGCUUGUACUGGUUAGCAGUCACUUGUAUAUUCUACGUGGAAGUCCCUUAUCAGAUAAAUGAUUUGCAAAUAUUUUCCCCAUUCUGUGGGUUGCCUUUUCACUUUCUUGAUAUUAUCUUUGAAGCGCAAAAGUUUUUAAUUUUGAUAAGGUUCAAUUUGUCUCUUUUUUUCUGUUGUCACUUAUGCUUUUGGUGUCAUAGCUAAUAAACCGUCAUCUAAUCAUAGGUCAUGAUUUACUUCUACGUUUUCUUAUAAGAGUUUUAUAGUUUUAUCUCUUAUUUUUAGGUCUGUAAUCCAUUUUGAGUUAUUUUUUAUAUAUGAUGUGAGUUAGGACUCCAAAUUUAGUCUUUUGCAUGGAGAUAUCCAGUUGACCCAGCACCAUUUGUUGAAAAGACUAUUAUUUCUCCAUUUAAUUUUCUUAGUAUUAUUGUUGAAAUGAAUUGACCACAAAUAUAAUGGUUAAUUUCUGGACUCUCAGUUCUGUUCCACUGAUCUAUAUAUCUAUUCAUAUGUGAGUAUUACACUAUUUUGAUUACUGUAGCUUUGUAGUAAGUUUUGAAAUCAAGAAAUAUUACUUUUCCAUCUUUGUUCUUUUUCAGAUUUUUUUUCUAUUCUGAGUCCCUUGUACUUCUGAAUGAAUUUUAGAAUCACCUUGUUGAUUUCUUUAAAUCAACUUGAAGGAAAAUUGGCAAUUGCCUUCAAACAGGCAAUUUGGAUUUUGAUAGGGAUUGCAUUAAAUCUGUAAGAUCAAUUUGGGGAGUAUCAUCAUCUUAACAAUAUUAAGCCUUUCGAUCCAUGAACAUGGUCUGUCUUUUAUUUACAUUCUUUCAAUGAUGUUUUGUAGUUUUUGGCAUACAAGUCUUGGGUUUCCUUUGUUAAAUUUGUUCCCAAGUAUUUUAUUCUUUUUGAUGCUAUUAUAAAUGGAGUGGUAUUCUUAAUUUCAUUUUUGGAUUGUUUAUAGCUAGUGUAUAGAAAUAAAAUUGAUUGCUGCAUAUUGAUCUUGUAUCCUGAUCAAGUAUCCUGAUUACUGAACUCAUGUAUUAGUUCUAAUAAUUUUUUGUGGAUCCCUUAGGAUUUUCUAUAUACAAGAUUAUAUCAUCUGCUAAUAGAGAUAGCUUUACAUCUUCCUUUUCAAACUGGAUGCCUUUAUUUCUUUUCCUUGCCUAACUGCUCUGGCUAGAACCUCCACUACAAGGUUGACUAGAAGUAGCAAGAGCCAGAUAUUCUUGUAUUGUUUCUCAUCUUAAGCAGAAACUUUCACCAUUAAAUAUGAUUUCACUGUCAGUUUUUUAUAAGUGCCGUUCAUUAGCUUGAGGAAGUUCUCUUCUAUUCCUAGUUUGUUAAGUGUGUUUAUUAUUUUUAAAAAGUGUUAGAUUUUGUCAAAUGCUUUUUCUUUGUUUGUUUUGUUUUGUUUUGAGACAAGUUUUCAUGCUGUCGCCCCGGCUGGAGUGCAGUGGUACAAUCUUGGCUCAUUUCAACCUCUGCUUCCCAGGUUCAAGUAAUUCUCCUGUCUCAGCCUCCCAAGUAACUGGGAUUACAGACACGUGCCACCACACCCGGCUAAUUUUUGUAUUUUUAGUAGAGAUGGAGUUUCACCAUUUUGGCCAGGCUUGUCUCAAACUCAUGAAUCAAGUGAUCUGCCCGCCUUGGCCUCCCAAAGUGCUGGGAUUACAGGCAUGAGCCACCAUGCCUUCUAUUACAAAGAAAACCAAAUGAGCCAAAAUGCUGCUUGCUAAAUCCAACUGAGUAAUGAUUCCCCAUGAGAGGAUCAGUCAUUUUAACUGGGUGUGAAGAAGACUUCCCCAGUCAGAUGCACCACGAAGACGCUAGAAGGUGUGCAGAGGACAAACACCUUUCCUCCUUCCCAGCUGCCCUUGCGUUGAACCCAUCCCUAGUUUCAUUCGCCACCAUCAAAACUCUGGACUACGCAAAGAACUGGCCAUCCUAUGCAGUACACCUCCUUUCCAUUCCCUUUUAAUGGAGCAGUCUGGCUCCCCCAGGCCAGGGACAAAAGGACCAGGCCAGUGGCUGCUGGACAUCCUACCUGAAGGGAGCAUCACCCUCAUUCUCAGAAACAACCUAACACAGCAGGCAAACCAUCUAUAUAGUGCACUGUGCUCACUGGCAUGGGGACACAGCACAGGAGUCCUUCCAAUCCUGCCCCAGGUGGGGAUGCCCCUCUGGUCUACCUCAUCCCCAAGGAACUGGUGGGACCACUUUUCCCUUGAAGGCCUAGUCUGUCCACUCUGAAACCCACCACCUGAGGGUCUGGUCUCUGCUCACCAUUUCAACAACAGCCUCAUCUAGCCCCUGAUGCAGGCUAACUUGAAAUGCCCUCCUACUGAGGGACUGGCAGUGUCUCAAGUUCCCAGCCUACCCUGUCCCAGGGCAUUUAUAGUAGAGGAGGGGCAAUGCAGGGAGGAUCCUAUCUUGAAUCUCCUCCCUCCUCUCCAGUACCUUGAUUGCCCCUUAGGUAUUCCAAUGUGUCUCUUCCGCGCAUCCCACCCCAACCCCACCGUGUUCCUAAUAGGAGAGCUGCUCUUGGAUUCUAAAAUAUCAUUGUGAGGGGCUGGGUCUUCUUUGUCUGUGCUUUCCCAGAACUAGCAUGAAGACUGUCAAAGAGCAGAUGUUCAAUUCAUGUUUGGUGAAUGACAUAAUUCAGAUGUUUGUCCCUUCUAAAUGUCAUGUUGAGAUAUAAUUCCCAGUGUUGGAGGUAAGGCCUGGUGGGAGGUGUUUGGACCAUCAAGGAGGGUCCCUCAUGGCAUGGUGCUGCCCUGGCCAUAGUGAGCGACUUCCCCUAUCUCUGGUCAUUUGAAAGCAUGUGGCACCUCCCACCCCCGCUCUGCUUGGCUGUCUUUCCUCCCACUGUUGCCACGUGACAUGCCUGCACCACCUUCCCCUCCUGGCAUGAGGAAAAGCUCCCCAAGACCUCCCCAGAAGCAGUUGCUGGUGCCACGCUCAUAGCCUGGUGAACUGUGAGCAAGUCAACCUCUUUUCUUUAGCAAUUACCCAGUCUCAGGUAUGCCUUUAGAGCAACACAAGAACUGCCUAGCACAAGGAACAAAAGAGCCAGUGAGCAAGUGUUCUCCUUUAUGAUGAUUUAAUUUCUCCAACAUUCUUGAAUACACAUAGCAACUGUGAGUAUAUAGCUUUUCAUUUUAUCACAACAAAAGACUUAAAGAAAUAAGAUUUUUAAACGUCAAAGGUUGCCAAUCAAUCGACACUUUUUUCCCACCAUCUUGUGAUCCCAACUGAUGCAGUGUUCAGUUGUUUCACAGUUUAAAGCCAAUCGCUAUUCCAAUGCUAUUUCUUCUUGCACUAGAUCAUAAUCUAGUAAGUAAAAAUUUCCAAUUUGUUUUACAAAAUACAAGAACAUCACUCUUCAAUGUGAUAAACAGCAAUAAUUGUGUGAGGCACCUAAUUCAUGAACUUAGAUUCUGAAUCAAAGUCAAUCUCUUUCAAAGGAACACGCGGUAGACACAGAAGAGAAAGAGGAAUCUAUAAGUGGCUUGCAAAUAACCAGAACAAAAGAAAGACACGUCUUGGGCUCCCCACCUCACCCCCAAAUACUGAGAUGGUGGACAGGCUUUUCAAUCUCUUAGUGAGGAUUGCCUGAGACUUCACUA
rnacentral:lncRNA from 10 species